GUCCUGGCCCUAAACGUUGGGUACUAGGUAGUAGACUAGACAUAGGUUUACUUCCGAAGCAAAAGUGCUAAGUACCCCGCCUGGGGAGUAUGGUCGCAAGGCUGAAACUCAAAGGAAUUGACGGGGCUCACACAAGCGGUGGAGCAUGUGGCUUAAUUCGAGGCAACGCGAAGAACCUUACCUGGGUUUGACAUGUGCGAAAGCGGUGGGAAGUAGGACCCGGAAACGGGAACGAACGGUAUCCAAUCCGGAACUCAUCACAGGUGCUGCAUGGCUGUCGU
rnacentral:rRNA from 1 species